CAGGCCUAACACAUGCAAGUCGAACGGGGUCUUCGGACCCAGUGGCGAGCGGCGGAGUAAUACAUAAGCAACGUGCCCUAAAGACUGGGAUAAUCAUUGGAAACGAUGGGUAAUACCAGAUGUGGUCUUCUCUUGGCAUCUUGAGAAGAUUAAACGGUUUUUCGCUUUAGGAGCGGCUUAUGGCCUAUCAGGUAGUUGGUGGGGUAACAGCCUACCAAGCCGACGACGGGUAGCGGGUCUGAGAGGAUGAUCCGCUCGAGUGGGACUGAGACACGGCCCACACACCUACGGGUGGCAGCAGUUGGGAAUCUUGCACAAUGGGGGAAACCCUGAUGCAGCGACGCCGCGUGGAGGAUGAAGGGUCUAGGCCUGUAAACUCCUUUUGACGGGAAAGACUUAGGACGGUACCCGUUGAAUAAGGACCGGCUAACUACGUGCCAGCAGCCGCGGUAAGACGUAGGGUCCAAGCGUUGUCCGGAUUUACUGGGCGUAAAGAGCGCGUAGGCGGUCUGUUAAGUGUGAAGUGAAAUCUCCAGGGCUCAACCCGGAAACUGCUUCGCAUACUGGCAGACUGGAGGGAUGCAGAGGUUUGUGGAAUUCCUGGUGUAGCGGUGAUAUGCAUAGAUAUCAGGAGGAACACCCAUGGCGAAGGCAGCAAACUGGGCAUCAUCUGACGCUGAGGCGCGAAAGCGUGGGUAGCAAACAGGAUUAGAUACCCUGGUAGUCCACGCCCUAAACGAUGGAUACUAG
rnacentral:rRNA from 1 species